GGAGCUUGCUUUAUAUAACUUAGCAGCGAACGGGUGAGUAACACGUAGAUAAUCUAUCCUAUACUGGGGGAUAGCCCGAUGAAAGUUGGAUUAAUACCGCAUAUAGCUAUAUAGUUGCAUGAUUAUGUAGUGAAAGAUUUAUUGGUAUAGGAGGAGUCUGCGGCACAUUAGCUAGUAGGUGAGGUAAAGGCUUACCUAGGCGACGAUGUGUAGCCGGUCUGAGAGGAUGAACGGCCACAAUGGAACUGAGACACGGUCCAUACUCCUACGGGAGGCAGCAGUGGGGAAUAUUGCACAAUGGGGGAAACCCUGAUGCAGCAACGCCGCGUGAGUGAAGAAGGUUUUCGGAUUGUAAAGCUCUGUUAGCAGGGAAGAGGAAGGACGGUACCUGCAGAGGAAGCCACGGCUAACUACGUGCCAGCAGCCGCGGUAAUACGUAGGUGGCAAGCGUUGUUCGGAAUAACUGGGCGUAAAGGAUGCGUAGGCGGUUAAACAAGUUAUAUGUUAAAUAUAUAGGCUUAACCUGUAGAAAGCAUAUAAAACUGUUUAACUAGAGUGCAGGAGAGGUAAGUGGAAUUCCUAGUGUAGCGGUGAAAUGCGUAGAGAUUAGGAAGAACACCAGUGGCGAAGGCGACUUACUGGACUGUAACUGACGCUGAGGCAUGAGAGCAUGGGGAGCAAACAGGAUUAGAUACCCUGGUAGUCCAUGCUGUAAACGAUGGGUA
rnacentral:rRNA from 1 species